GAGAGAGUCAGUGAACCUAAAAGAUUGCUAGUUUUUCAGGACCGCAGUUAGAGUCUGCGGCUCA
rnacentral:tRNA from 1 species